AGUGAACGCUGGCGGUAGGCCUAACACAUGCAAGUCGAACGGCAGCACAGUAAGAGCUUGCUCUUACGGGUGGCGAGUGGCGGACGGGUGAGGAAUACAUCGGAAUCUACUUUUUCGUGGGGGAUAACGUAGGGAAACUUACGCUAAUACCGCAUACGACCUACCGGUGAAAGCAGGGGAUCUUCGGACCUUGCGCGAUUGAAUGAGCCGAUGUCGGAUUAGCUAGUUGGCGGGGUAAAGGCCCACCAAGGCGACGAUCCGUAGCUGGUCUGAGAGGAUGAUCGGCCACACUGGAACUGAGACACGGUCCAGACUCCUACGGGAGGCAGCAGUGGGGAAUAGUAGGCAAUGGGCGCAAGCCUGAUCCAGCCAUACCGCGUGGGUGAAGAAGGCCUUCGGGUUGUAAAGCCCUUUUGUUGGGAAAGAAAAGCAGCAGGUUAAUACCCCGCUGUUCUGACGGUACCCAAAGAAUAAGCACCGGCUAACUUCGUG
rnacentral:rRNA from 1 species